GCCACGUUGAAAUAUCGGUUUCUGUGCGAUCUCCAAAGUUAAGCCACGCCGAGCCUGAUCAGUACAUAGAUAAGUGAACGCUUGGGAAUACCAGGUGCUU